AUGGAGCUGACCCACCUGCUUUGUGAAAGCCUGCUGGUUUCAGAUACUCAGAUCAAUCCUGGGGGAGAAGAAGCAGCUCUGAAUGCCUGCAGCAGACUGCGUCUCACUGUUGACACGCUGCUAGAGCUGCUGAACCAGGCCAACACACAGCUGGAGCAGACUCAUGAUUUCCACUUUUCUCUGGAGGAAAAGUUCUCCCAGGGCAGAGAAGACUCCGCCCAUCUCCUUGAGCAGCACAAGCUCCUAUUGGAGCAGCUCGAUCAGGAGGCGAGGCUGAAGAGUCAACUCCAGCUGGAGCUCCACAAGGCAGAGGGUGAGCACUGUAUCCUUGUUGGCUCUGCUUCACUUGACUCAUGCUGCCAAGUUACAGUGGUUAAUCCACUGACUGGUAGCACUCCUUGCUCCUCUGUCUAUGGUCCAACUUCACCGCUUGCACUGAAGUUCAUACAUAACAACAUAACAGUUAUUUUUAAUGCUGAGCAUGAGAAUCUCAAACAUGUUUUGUGCUCAGGGCUUCUGGAUGGCUAUGUGGCUGAGAAAGCAGUCCUAGAGGAAUCUUUGCAGCAGAAAGAGACACAAGAAGAGAGACUAGUGGAGGAACUGGAGGACCUGAAGGUGAAGCUGCACCAGAUGCAGGGCCUCACAGCAGAGCUGGACAGCCUCAGACUAAAGCACCAGGAGCUCAGUGAGGAGCACACACUUCUCCUGCGCCAGAAGGAGCAUCUCUCCGCUGGACUGGGGGAGAGGGAGAAAGGUAAGCAAGCACAAAAUCAUGAAAUCGUACUUUUCUUUGCAUAAAAUGUUACAUGACCUCUUUAGUGAGCUUGGACACACACUUACAUAAUGUCUGUGCUCAGAUGUGUCUUUUCUCCGUAGGCCAUUGGCUCAGUUUAGAUCCUGAUACAGGUUUGUGGGUCAGAGUGGAGUAUGAGUGUGUGAUGAGGGGCUGGGGAUGAAUAUGCAGUAUAUUUGCAGUGCUGUGUGAGGUUGCUGUUCGUAACACUACUAUUGCCAGUAUAUUGUAGCAAAGGCCCUUGCGUGCUGUGUUUCAGUGUCUUUUUCAGGAGGAAAUGCAGUGUGUAUAAUAACUAUAUAUCUAAAUGUAUAUCUCUUCUCUUGUUUUUUUUUUUUCUUCUGUAUGUAUUCGUAUCGGAAUAAUUGCCCUGCCAUUUCUCCUAUAUUUUUCAAGCUCUACUGGCGGAGACGGAGCGUUUGACCCAGGAUAGGCUGGACUUGCAGCGGCAGGCUGAGAAAGACCGCAGCUCUCUAUCCCUGCGCCUCAGGGCCCUGGAGAGAGAGCUGGACGAGCAGGAAACAAAGGGCCUGGAGACAGAGCAGCACCACAAGACCCACACCGAAGACCUCAACCAGCAUGUCCAAGCACUUGAGAAACAGCUGAAACAUGACCGGCAGUUUAUAGAGGUUCGUUUUUACAAAUUAAGAUAAUCUGCAGUUGUGUAAACACUGCAUUAAUGAUUUUGUAUUCUCACUUUACUUUAGUUCUGGCGUUAUUUGAGAGUGUCAGACAAUUUCUGUAGCUUAAUGUAGAGGACACAAUCUUUCACGUAAUUUUUUCCCGACGCAAAUAGGAGCAGGCUGUGGAGCGUGAACACGAGAGAGACGAGUUCCAGCAGGAGAUCCGAAGGCUGGAGGCCCAACUCAGACAGACAGCCAGUGUGGAUAACAAAGGACACAGGGUGAGACCUAUUCAUUUGAUCGCAAGCAGUAACAUCUAAUGAGACAGUACUUCUCAACAGGCUCCUAUUUCUAGAUAAAGGUGGUAAAGUACAUUGGAUUUCCAGUUUGUGUGCUUUUGAUGUGUUUUUUUUUUUUUUGUGAUGAGUGUUUAAUGCAUUGUUGAUGGGAUUAUGAACCAGUUAACUGAAGUGUAUGUAUUAGUACUCACAGAGGUUGAAGUGAUGAAUGCAUUGUUUGCUUGUUUGCCUAUGAGCCUGACUUUUGCCAUGUGUUUAUCCCUGUGCCGAACGGAUUGCUGUAGUUUGAGGACUUGGUUCUUCAGGUAUGAAUUCUAACUGUAGCAUACUUCUCUUAGCCCCUCUGACUCUUCUGCAUGGUGUGUAUUUUGAUUUACAUCAUUAUUUCCAUGCAACCAUCCGUAGAUUAAUUCUUAGUGCUUAAAUGUGUUUCUCAUAAGUUCUAUAUUUUUUCCCAUUUCAUCGUCUUGUCGGCUAAUAUUAAUUUGCUUCUGUUUCACACUUCAUUUGUCUUUCAUCUACAUGUCGCUGCUCUCUGGAAUGGCUUAUCUUAUUAAAUGUUUGGUACCAGUGGCUGCAGACCCGGAAUGGCUAAUUUCACUACGAAUCAUGUAGCAAAUUUGCAAAUCCCUUUCUGCUUCUUAAAAAUUAAACUAAACUUAAAACUUUAUCACAAAAUGUUGUCCCCUCUGUGUUUGUGCAGGUGGAGAGUCUACAAGCUAUGAUCAAAGACAAAACAGAGGACCAUGCCUCCUUGUUCACAGCCAAUCAGCAAGCCCAGCGCGACCUUGCAGAACGCAAUGAGGAGAUAGACAAGCUAGCCGGGCGAAUCAGAGAGCUAGAGCAAGCGCUGCUUAACAGCACUGAGAGUAAUAGAUCUAUGAGUCAACUGGAACAAGAGCUCCACAGAGCAAAGUUGAGAGAACAGGAGCUCACACAAGUAAGAAAAUACACAAUUAACACUGUCCUGUGUAUAUAAACUUGAAAUCACUCUCAUACCUUUGUGCACGCUGAACAUUGUUAAUCUCAUGAAUGUACUCACUUUUGUCAGGAUAAGCAGGCACUGGAGCAGCAGCAGCUCGCUAACAGGCUUCAGAUCUCUGCCUUGCAGUCCAAACUGGAUGAGACAAGACACUGUUACCAUGACAACGCGCGUGACCCCACUCAGGAGCUUAGGGAUGCCCUGGACACCGCUCAGCAGGGCAUACACAGCAAAGAGCAAGAGGUCUGUAGGAUUUUAUGCGAAGCUGAUGUAUGGUUGCUAAGAUGAUUUGGGCUGACAAGCUGUGGUUGUCGAUUGAUUCAUUUGCCUGCAUCGCCACCUUUUGGUAGAAAUGUGUACGGGUAUACAGACUUGAUCAAUCUUUUUAAAAGCUGCCAUCAGGAUUAUAAAUCUCUGAAAGCUCAAUAUUUUUAAUCCACUAAAGAAAACUAUGUAUGCAAUUAUAGAAGAUAUUUUUUGCCUUUGUUUAAUAAGUAAAAUGAUGUCUUUCAGGUUGAGGUCCUGCUUGGCCAACUAGACAAUGUGCAGAGGGACUUGAACAUCAAAGAGGUUGAACUAAAACACCUCACCCUACAGCUGGAGCUACUGACCAAUCAGAAUACAGCUAAUGUUAACGAGCUCCAAGAACAGAUUGCUGCCCUAAAGGUAAGUGCUACUUCAUCUUCAUACCAGGUUAUCAUCUGUUUUAUUUAGCUGCUUUGUAAAUGAAAUAUAUAUUUGUACAUCAAUGAAAAACAACAAGCUCUCCUUCUUGGAGAGAAUUAUGCUGUUUGUUCUAUUUGCCCAAAAGAUGUUUGUUUUUUUCAAAUCAGACCAUUUGGAGACCUCGUGAGUGCAAACAUUUUUUUUUUUCCUUCAGUUUUGGCCAUAUCUAUUUAAGUAACUGGGCAGAACUUGAAUGGAAGGAGACAUACUUACCGAGUAUACUAUUGGAAAGAUAUCUAUAAGAAAUGGCUGAAGAAGACCUAGUAAUGACAAAUUACAAACACACUUACAAACAUUAUUUAUGUGAAGGAGAGAAUUAGAUAUUUAAUUUUCUACUGCCUUCAUCUUUAAAGGUUCUUCCACUUCAUAUGAUAUGAUUCUUCAUUUGAUUUUGAUUGUUAUUGUCAUUCCCUCCUUAAAAAUCAAUAAUGUGGGGAAAAAAGAAACCUAAUAGAACUGGUAUGUACAACUCUGCUUGCAGGAGAAUGUCUCUGCUCUUACCAUACUCAAGGAGGAGGAAGAGGAACAAAGCGAGUUGGAGGACACAGAGGAGACCCUCCCUGCAGCAUUACUCCAGGAGAAAAAUCAGGAGAUCGACCACCUCAACAAUGAGAUCCAAACACUGGAACAAGAGCUGGAGAACAGCAGGGACAAUAAGGUCAGAAUAAGUACACACAGAAUACAUGCAGACCACG
rnacentral:lncRNA from 15 species